rnacentral:rRNA from 1 species
UACGUAGGUGGCAAGCGUUGUCCGGAUUUACUGGGCGUAAAGAGCGCGCAGGCGGUCGUUCAAGUCGCGUGUGAAAGCCCCCGGCUCAACUGGGGAGGGUCACGCGAUACUGAUCGACUCGAAGGCAGGAGAGGGUAGUGGAAUUCCCGGUGUAGUGGUGAAAUGCGUAGAGAUCCGGCGGAACACCGGUGGUGAAGACGGUCCCCUGGGCCGAGGCCGACGCUGAGGCGCGAGAGCGCGGGGAGCGAACCGG